UUCCAAAGUUGACGGACAAAAGAAUCAAAGAACCAUCGAGGAAGGGUUGUCGGUCAAGGGAGAAUAAUCAACAAGUCGAAAAAGGACAGGUGUCAGUAAAUUUACUUGAAAGAAUCCUCGAGUGUUACUGGCUACAGCCGGUAACCGUCAACCAGUAUCGUCUUAUAAAACCGCGUUAGCCUUAACGUCAUUCUUCAUAAGGUUUCUCUUCCACAUCUCUCUUGCCGGAAAUUUUAUAACGCUUCUCUCUGUCUUCGUUGUCUCUCUCUCAAAAUCUUCAUUAUAUUCUCUCUAUCUACCUGCCAAUAUUCAGAAAUGUCGUUGCGGAAUUACACUGCCGUUAUAGCCUUGAUCGUUUUCGCCGUCGUCGUGUCUCCUUUCGCCGGCGCCCAAUCGCUAGCUCCUGCUCCUUCUCCCACAAGCGACGGAGCAUCGAUCGAUCAAGGAAUAGCGUAUUUACUAAUGGUGCUGGCGUUGGUGCUGACGUAUAUCAUUCAUCCCCUCGAUGUAUAAUCAAAUCUUAGAGUUCUAAUUGAGUAAUGAGUUCAUAGUUUAUUUUUUUUAUCUUUCUUUCUUAUAUAAUUUGUUUAUUUGUACAUGUACUCCUUUAGUUAUAAUUAUUCAAUAUUCAUUUAUUAAAGAGAAAUUCCCAUAUAAUAGUUUUUUAAAAAAAGUUUUUUCUCAGAACACCCAAAAAGAAACUGAGGUUUCAUUAAAUGGUUAAUAUACAUAUAUAACUAUAUGUUUAACUUAUAUAGAUUAAUAUAUAUAUAUAAAGUUUAGAGUUGAAUGAUAGAGUUUUGGAGUGAAUUUCAGAAGAUGCUAGUUUUUAAGAAGAGAUGGUCUCUCCAUACCUCUUCCACAUAGGUACAUCAAAAGAAGAGAUGGUCUCUUGUUCAACUGAGGCAUUGCAGAGGAUGCUAGUUUUUAAAAAUUUACAAAUGUCUUUUGUAUAGUUUUGGCUAUAAUUGUUUUUUUCUAGUAUAUUUUCAUUAAAAUUCACAUCUUGAACUAAAACUAUAUAAAAACAUUGAUUGUAAGGGUAAAUCAUUUAAAACAUGAUGGCAUUUUUAUUUUUC